rnacentral:rRNA from 1 species
UAGAGUUUGAUCAUGGCUCAGAUUGACCGCUUGGCGGUAUGCUUAACACAUGCAAGUCGAACGGUAGCAGGCCUUCGGGCGCUGACGAGUGGCGGACGGGUGAGUAACGCGUAGGAAUCUGCCUCAUAGUGGGGGACAACGUGGGGAAACUCACGCUAAUACCGCAUACGCCCUACGGGGGAAAGCGGGGGAUCUUCGGACCUCGCGCUAUGAGAUGAGCCUGCGUUAGAUUAGCUAGUUGGUAGGGUAAAGGCCUACCAAGGCGACGAUCUAUAGCUGGUCUGAGAGGACGAUCAGCCACACUGGGACUGAGACACGGCCCAGACUCCUACGGGAGGCAGCAGUGGGGAAUAUUGGACAAUGGGCGCAAGCCUGAUCCAGCAAUACCGCGUGUGUGAAGAAGGCCUUAGGGUUGUAAAGCACUUUCAAUUGGGAGGAAAACCUGUCGGUCAAUACCCGGCAGCUUGACAUUACCUUUAGAAGAAGCACCGGCUAACUCCGUGCCAG